rnacentral:lncRNA from 1 species
UUUUUUUUUUUUUUUUUAAGCCAAACCAAACCCCAUUCACUCAUAUUAGACCUAAAACAUUCACAAGAGCUCAUGCUAAGCCUUAACUUGCAAAAUAAAACUCAACACAUUUCUAAAUUUCUUUAUUAUCUUAUUCUUAAUUUCUUCCUUUAUUCUGUCUUAGGAAAAGACAACCCCCAGACAAUUACACUUAUUUUUUUCUCCAUAAUUACGGAAGAAAUCAUCAAACAAACCUAAUAGUGGCUUUUGCAGUUACCUUGCUGAUCCAGCCUUGCCUAAGCAGUGUGGGCAGGCUGUGGGGUCAGACAUGCAGCAUUAUGGCUUUUCCCUGCAUCCACAGGGAUGGGACAAGGGAUGCAGGUGCUGCAGGCAGCUGCAGCUCCAGUUGCACCUGUGGGAUUCACACAGCCCAGGGCUCUUGGGCUGCACAUCUUGUCAGUUUGUAAAAUACCAUUUUAAUUUCUGUCUCUCUCACCUGCUGGUGUUGGAAAGCUGCUGUAGGCACUUUGCAGAGAUUGGCACUGGAAGCACCUGACACUUGCUGUUGUAAACUUCAUCCAUCUCCUUGAAAUACUGUUGUGAUGGUGGUUGUCUCAAGGCUCUGUGCACAUGGAGUAAUUGCUGGUGUAAAGACUUUUUUAUCCUCUCGUUAUUGUUACUGAGCACUGCUUUCAUCCAGAAACAUGAAUUGGGGAAGGAUGCCACAGACUUUCACCACUGAAUCUGUCCCUAGAUGGUUUCUUUUCACCCAUGUGAAAUUUAUAAAUAGGGGUGGGGGAUGCAGACAAGCCUAUAAAGAAAGACCUCCAUAAAUCAAAUUCUGCAUUUUCUAAGUUGCUCAAGGAAUGAUUUACUGCAGAAAUGGUGAACAGAUGGAUUCCCACUGCCAUCCAUAGAUGAGUGUGGCAGACCAGUGUGGCUGCUGCUGUUUGUUCCCUUCCUUUCCCUCCUUUGGCUGCUGUUAUGUUGCUGCAUUGGGCAAUCAUGUUAUGUGAAAUGCAGUGUUGCACAUCAUCAUCACAGCAGUGUUGGUAUUUCCUAAAGGUCUUUGUCAUGAUGUUUGUCAGUGCCUGUUUUAAAAUGGCCCAGGCUCCUAGCUUGACCUUUAUAGUUUCUUUUUUUUUUUUUUUUUUUACAAGACACAGUUAUGUUUCAUGCAAGCCACAUAAUUCUUUGGGCUACUUGUAGUAGAUUUAGAAAGCAGAUGCUCCUUGAAUGCCCAACACAUGCAAUCCAUGGGCAAGAGCUAGUGAAGGGUGUUUAAAAGAGGCAGUGGUUCUUGUCACUGUGGGGUUUUCUUGUUCAUUAUCAACUUAGUCAGAAGAUAGGUCAGCAUUUUUCAAGGUGGAAAAAGGCUGAAGGAGGAUGGGCUGUGGCAGGAUGAGAUCUUGGCAGUAUUUACUUGGUGCAGAGUCACAGGGCCAAAAGGGACUUGGAGACAUCAGCUAGACAUUUUCCAAGGCAGGUUAAGCUUGGAAUGGGUGGAUGUGUGAGUGUUGAACUUGUCCUUAAAAGCCUCUAAUAGUGGAGAAUCAACCAUUUCCCAUGCUGUUUUUUCCAUGCUGUGUUUGACUGUCUUUUUGAGGAUGGUUUAUUCCCCCAGUGCCUAAGUACAAAAUUUUAGGGUAUAGGAGAAAAAGACAGUGACCUCAAAUGACAUUAGACAGAGGAGCAUUUCAGCUGUUUUUAUAAAUGCAACCUAAGAAAUAAUGGUCAGAUAAAAUCUGAGACAAGAUUUUCAAGGAGCCCCAGCCCAAAUUUGCUCACCACAGGACUCCUCCAUGCCUUUAAAAACCUCUUUCUUUGAAUGGUGUGUCAGGUUGAUGGUUAAUAGCCAUAUCAGAAAGGUUCAAAGAGACCUUUCUCCUCAUGCUGUGUUUUCUAUCCAGUAGAUGCCUUCUUUUUUUUUUUUUUUUUACAGAGUUCAGACAGUGAAAAAACAGCCAAACCAAAAAAUCCCUAGCCCCAAACUGACCCAGCUUGCUAGCCUUUUUCCUUGGUACCCUUUUAAGGCCAUCAAUAAAGCCAUAUUACGAGGAGGAAACCAAAGGAGAACAUAAUCCAUUUAUUUAGGCUUGUGCCAGCACAGCAAGAGGCUGGAGAGGCAGCAGGGGCCAGAGCCUGCCCUUGGCCUACAGCUGUCCUCUCCUGCUUCCUUUUGCCUUGGAAACAGCCUGACUAUCCUCUGCUGGGAUGCUGCUGGCACAGCAUCACCUGUGCUGGCAGCAAGGUCCCUGCCUGGGGUGGGAUGCAGCCUCUCCCUGGAAGAUGUGGGGAAAGCUGCAGUGGGAAAAGUGCAGUGGGAAAAGUGCAGUGCUGUGGGCAGUGCAGGCACCAGGACAUGCCCAGGUCUCUGCUUUGGGACAGGGACCCAUGGCUGUGCCUGCAAUUCUCUCUCCAGCUCCAAACCAGGACUAGUGGAAUAAUUUUGAAGCAGGACACUAAUGGAGUGUGUUACAAGAGCUGUGCACUCCCCUGUUUGUUACCUGUGCACCAGUUCAGUGAGGAGUCUCUGGGUGUCACACCAUGCUGAGAAUCCAUUGCUGGGGAAGCAAAGGGGACAGCACAUCCCUCAAGCUGGGCAGUGCUUCCUUUUCUGCCUGUUGUGGUUGAUCAGGAGGCUCUCAGGCUGGACUCAGGGCUUUGUCACGCUCAGCAGAAGCAGCAGGCUUGCAGGAAUGGGUCAGUAAAUCUCUUAGACCCUACAGGCACCAGGCAGAGAUCACCCCAGCCAUGCUGGCAUGUGCUGGGACCCUGCCCCAGACCCUGCAGCCCUGCUCUGCUGUGUGCCCACACCAAGCUGUGUGUGGGGAGGUGAUGGCAAAGCCCCCCAGCCCCCGUGGCAGCCGGCAGGUGCCUCCUGCAGGGCACAGCAGCCCUUUGUAGCCCCACACUGCCAUGGUCAGGGCCCCAGCCAUGCCCAGGGCUGCCAAGGCUGUGAGCACCAGCCCUGCAGAGCCCUGGCUGCAUGGCCAGGCAGGACACAAAGAGAGGCUUCCUAUAGAUCCUGCUCCAGGUGACAUCUGGCCUCAUUUAUGGACUUGGAUGGAUGGGGCACCCAGGUCUGUUCAGUCCCAGUAGGAGCCUUUGAUGAAAUCCCUGUACUGACCAAAGACUGACUCUGAAGGGCAGGAUCUCCACAGACAACCUCCUGCACAAGUUGGCGUCCUCCAAGCGUUGAGAGAGAAAAUAUUUAAUGGCUUAAAAAGGAAAAAGAGGCAAUGGAGCAGUUUAGAAAAUGCAAUUUCCUCAACAACUUUGUGAUUUGAAGAACUGGCGCUAUAAAAGGGGAAACCAAAUUUGUGGGAAGGAUGAAAUUAUUUUCCCCAAGCCCAAUAAUCACCCUGGCUUAAGCUAGGAGUUUUUGCUCCACAAACUGCCCCUGUUUUUGCUCCUGUUGUCACAAACUGUGAAACUAUGGUGCAUGCCUAUCAGGCUACACUGCAGUUGCAAAUUAACCAGUGUGUUCAGUAGUCCUCCUUUCACCAUCAAUGUAGUCUUCAGUGAUGCCUGGGGAAGGAAGAGGGUUUUCCUUCAUGUUUCACAGUGUUUCUCCUACUCUCAUAGACUCUUAAUCCUUCAUGGUUUUCUCAGUGCUGCUCAGCCCUGGGAACUCUACCUGGAAUAAGCAAAACAAGUUACAGUGGAGACAAAAGUGACAAAAAAUCAUUGAACUUUACAGCAGAUAACCCAGGGUAUGACUUCCAAAUUAUACCCGGUUACUCAGCAGUCAAAAACACAAGAGCAGCCAGUACAGAUGAAUAUUCACCUGAUUUUACAGUGUAAUUGCUUCUCACUUAAAAUUUGACCUUUUUUUUUCCUUUCCUCCCAGCAUAACCACGUGCUUCCUGCAUUUCCCUACUCUUCAGUAUCAGCAUGUGCUUUGAGUCCUGUAGAGUUGGAGAGGAAUUACUAACAGAACUGAAAAAUAACUCUGAUCCUCUUACCUUUGCAUGCACAAAAUUCUUAGCAAAAUACAAGAAAAAAAAAAAAGGCAUUUCUCUUGUGUUGUGCUUGCACAGUGUCAAUGGCAAAGCAAAGUCUAAGGGCAUAAAUAAGGUGAAAUGUUGCUCUGUGGUGAUGCAGAGACUGAAGGGACUGGGUUUUAAGCAGUGUCCCUCCACAUUGGCUUUUCUGAUAAAGGCAGAAGAAUUUGUAUCAUGCACCAAAAAGCUCAGCUUCCAGCUUUGUGUGCCCCUCUUCUUGUGGUACUUUCCACCUGUUCCCUGUGGGUACCUGGAUGAGACAAAGGAUACCUGUGCUCAGGUAGCUUCUGAUUCAGAUUGCUUCUGGGUUCACUUGAAAUCCCAGUCAGGAACUUUCCGUCUUUACUGUUUUGUAAUCAAAGAUGCAGAGGCUGCAAUUCAGCCAGGAUGUGUUUGCUGGGCUGAGAGCUCUUGGGUACAGCCCAUCCUUCCUUCCCUCCCACUGCAAACACAUCAGGGCAUCCUUCUUUUAAAUACCUACUUUUAAGCUCCCCUAUCAAAAUGUCAGAAUUAUUAGGGAAAAGUGUUUAUUGCCACACUUUCCUUGAUACAUGUGCUGUAUCAUAGAUGGCUUCUGCUGAGUGUGUGCUGGGUGCUUUUGGCAGAUGUUCAGUUUGCACUGGAGGCUGUUUGUGCCUGGCUGGGGGUGCAGGGGAGCAGAGUGGUCACUUGUGCAGGUGGGAUGAUGCUAGGUGACACAGGUUUGGCAGGAAAGGCAGCAGGCUGUGGGGGAUACCCUCAACACUGCUGGGGUACCUGGGGCAGAGCAGCUGAUUCCCACUGAUUUGGGAAGAGGAUUCUAGAAACCCUGAGGCAGGGAGCAUGUUGGGUGACACCUGUGUGGGCUGAGAGCAGAGUGAUACCACCUACAAGAGGGGCUCAUGCCUCCAUCCCUGUUUUUAGGGGAUACAUUGGAGCCUGCCUGCACAUGCCUGCUCCCACUUUGCCUUUGGGAGGGCACCCCAAGACACCAACAGGGAGCAGACUGGAAAAGGGUGAUGCAAAAGGCACCCUGGGCUUUGCUGGGCCUUGGUGGUGCUCCCUGCAAAUGUCUCUCCCUUUCUCAUCCCCUGCUGCAGUUUGGGCUUGGCUCCUGGGCAGGCAGCACUCUGCUCCCUGCCUGCUGUGGGGAGCACGAGGCUCACAUGGACCAAAAUGUGUCAAAAGCAUUUCCUCAAAUAGUCAGUUUUAAUUUUAAUAAGUCGUGUUUAGUAGCCUUAAGGACACUGGCUGUGUGAGAGGAAAGGAUUAUUAUGUCUGAAAACAAAGGGCUGCUGAGAGCUGGUGUGGGGUGAGAGGCAUCACAUCUUCCUUAAGAGAGAGGAGCCCUUGCCAUGUGGUUGGAAAGCGUGGUGGGAUUGACAGGGGAAGCACUUGGACUGAGAAAUCUUCUUUUAGAUUAAGCAACAAAAUUCUGCAUGCACAUACAGACUAGAUCUUCAUACCGCGGCAGGCUUUGACAGUGUACUGCAGCAUUAUUGCUAUUUAUAAUCCACAAUUACUAACACUAUAAUCCAGUAAAUUUAGUGGUAGCAAUUACAGCAACAUAAAUAGCAAUCCAGAUGACUAAAGGCAUUGCUGUCAAUGCAGGUGGCAGCUACAGCAUUAGAAAAAGAAGUUGGAGGGAUGAUACCAGGACUCGAUAUGUGAGCUUGGGUCUGCUAGUCUUUUAUAUACCAUUUUUAAUAUACUUCCUGAAAUGAAGCUUCAGAAAGGUACACUGCCUCUUUAAAAUUAGUCUAGGAACUACAGGUAGUUCACAUUAUUUUUAAAAUAAUAAAUCUCUAUAUAUAUCUAUAUUAAAAUAUAUAUGUAUACAUAAGUUGGCUAGCCUACCUUGUGGAAAGGCUGCAGCUAAACUAAGUCUGAGCUAAUAUUGUAUUACCAUGGUCCUCUGGUUUGUAGAUAGCCCUUCCUUAUUAGAUGAGGUUCUGUUCUUGCUCCACAGAAGGUGCCUGUGUAUAUAACUCCUUUGUAUUGCUUUCUGCAGAGUCCCUUAUAUAUUUCUUACUACUAAUGCUGUGUAGAAAAGGAAACCCAGAGAUUUUACUACUGAUAAUUAACCAUAUAAUGGCCAUUAGCAAAAUAAAGAUUUAGUUGUUUGGGAAACAGAUUAUUUAUAUUGUGUAUGGUUUAUUGCCUGAUAACUUGUUUGGUGACUGGAUAUUCUUUUCCUUCUCCUAGUCCUUUUCUGCUUUUUCCAGCUAUGGUGUUUACUCCUCACUUUGAUUAUCUAGCAGGCAAUAAAGUAUAUUGUAUGUUUUGAA